rnacentral:rRNA from 1 species
CCUACGGGUGGCAGCAGUGGGGAAUAUUGCACAAUGGGCGAAAGCCUGAUGCAGCAACGCCGCGUGAAGGAAGACGGUUUUCGGAUUGUAAACUUCUAUCAAUAGGGAAGAAAGAAAUGACGGUACCUAAAUAAGAAGCCCCGGCUAACUACGUGCCAGCAGCCGCGGUAAUACGUAGGGGGCAAGCGUUAUCCGGAAUUACUGGGUGUAAAGGGAGCGUAGACGGUUAUGUAAGUCUGGAGUGAAAGCCCGGGGCCCAACCCCGGGACUGCUUUGGAAACUGUGUAACUGGAGUACAGGAGGGGCAGGCGGAAUUCCUGGUGUAGCGGUGAAAUGCGUAGAUAUCAGGAGGAACACCGGCGGCGAAGGCGGCCUGCUGGACUGAAACUGACGUUGAGGCUCGAAAGCGUGGGGAGCAAACAGGAUUAGAUACCCGAGUAGUC